UACGUAGGGGGCAAGCGUUGUCCGGAAUUAUUGGGCGUAAAGCGCGUGUAGGCGGCCAGAUAGGUCCGCUGUGAAAUCUCGAGGCUCAACUUCGAGCUGUCGGUGGAAACUGUCUGGCUAGAGUCCGGAAGAGGAGAAUGGAAUUCCUGGUGUAGCGGUGAAAUGCGCAGAUAUCAGGAAGAACACCCGUGGCGAAGGCGGUUCUCUGGGACGGUACUGACGCUGAGACGCGAAAGCGUGGGGAGCGAACAGG
rnacentral:rRNA from 1 species